rnacentral:lncRNA from 1 species
UCUGUGGUGGCCACUGCUUUUGUCACUACAGUAUCACUUAUCUGGAGGAGCAGGAAUACUAUCAGAUUCGAGGGGAAAUCCUAUGAUGAAAAUCAAGUCUGUCGAGUGAUUGCAAUACUUAUACAAGCUCGGGGCAGGAAAUGUAAGAAAUGGCAAAAGGGGCUGCGACAACUAAACAACUAUCCUUAGCUAGUUUAGAAAUGUAUUAGCUAAAGAUUGUAGUGUGGUAGUUAGUCUAUACUACCAUACAGAACUUAUACUUGUAUAUUUUUGAUAUCAAUGGAAAC